GGUUAAGUGACUAAGCGUACACGGUGGAUGCCUUGGCAGUCAGAGGCGAUGAAGGACGUAUUAACUUGCGAUAAGCCCAGAUUAGGUAGUAAAAACCAUUUGAGUCUGGGAUUUCCGAAUGGGGAAACCCAAUACCAUAAGGUAUUACUGUUGAGUGAAUACAUAGCUCAACAGGGCGAACCGGGGGAACUGAAACAUCUAAGUACCCCGAGGAAAAGAAAUCAACCGAGAUUCCGAAAGUAGCGGCGAGCGAAAUUGGACUAGCCCUUAAGCUUUACACGCGUUAGACGAAC
rnacentral:rRNA from 1 species